UGGGGAAUUUUGGACAAUGGGCGAAAGCCUGAUCCAGCCAUGCCGCGUGCAGGAUGAAGGCCUUCGGGUUGUAAACUGCUUUUGUACGGAACGAAAAGACUCUGGUUAAUACCUGGAGUCCAUGACGGUACCGUAAGAAUAAGCACCGGCUAACUACGUGCCAGCAGCCGCGGUAAUACGUAGGGUGCAAGCGUUAAUCGGAAUUACUGGGCGUAAAGCGUGCGCAGGCGGUUAUAUAAGACAGAUGUGAAAUCCCCGGGCUCAACCUGGGAACUGCAUUUGUGACUGUAUAGCUAGAGUACGGCAGAGGGGGAUGGAAUUCCGCGUGUAGCAGUGAAAUGCGUAGAUAUGCGGAGGAACACCGAUGGCGAAGGCAAUCCCCUGGGCCUGUACUGACGCUCAUGCACGAAAGCGUGGGGAGCAAACAGGAAUUAGAUACCCUGGUAGUCCACGCCCUAAACGAUGUCAACUGGGUUGUUGGGUCUUCACUGACUCAGUAACGAAGCUAACGCGUGAAGUUGACCGCCUGGGGAGUAUCGGCCGCAAGGUUGAAACUUGAAAGGAAUUGACGGGGUCAUAGCUGUUUCC
rnacentral:rRNA from 1 species